GGGGUCGACUGGUUUUGACAGCGAGAUUAAUAGGACAGUAAGCAUGUCGAGCGCUGGGAUAUAGCUCGUAAAUCUCAUAUUUCACCUUUUUUAAACGGCGAGAAUAACUACGCCCUAGCUGCAUAAUCUGAAUUUAUAGUAGGAUAUGCCUCGGUUCGUAAGACGAACAAGCAGGAAGUCUCUCAAAAGCCUUGGUUUGCGGCGGUUGAUCUAGAGACUUCGUAAAAGUAAACCUAGAGGAUACAGGGUCUUGAUGUAACCUCGAAAUUUAAGCGAGAAUAUGUGUAAGAUCGAUUGUCUUUGGUCAGUCUUAUGCAGACAAUUAAACGAAGACUAAACAUGUAGAAAGCUCUUCUAUUACUUGUUUGGACGAGGGUUCGAAUCCCUCCGACUCCACCU
rnacentral:tmRNA from 1 species